rnacentral:rRNA from 1 species
UACGAGAGGUCCAAACGUUAUUCGGAAUCACUGGGCUUACAGAGUUCGUAGGCGGUUCUACAAGUGGGGUGUGAAAGCCCUCGGCUCAACCGAGGAACUGCGCUCCAAACUGUAGAACUAGAGGGAGAUAGAGGUGAGCGGAACUGAUGGUGGAGCGGUGAAAUGCGUUGAUAUCAGCAGGAACACCGGAGGCGAAGGCGGCUCACUGGGUCUCUUCUGACGCUGAGGAACGAAAGCUAGGGGAGCAAACGGG